CCAUCGAUGGUUCAGUGGUCGAAUGCUCGCUUGCUACGUGGGUAGCCCGGGUUCGAUUCCCGGUCGAUGGA